rnacentral:lncRNA from 1 species
CAUGCGCUUGCAGAGGAUAAAACCUGGUAUUUGAGGUUAAUAAGAACAGCCUUACUGAACCGGGGAGAAAGUUCUAGCACAGUCUAGGCCUGUGUUUUGUCUCUGUAACUGUCUUGUCCGUGACGGUAACAAACAGCAGGUGCCUGGGGAAAGCUGUGACCUGAUGUUACUGAGGACACUGAAGAGGAUCAAAGCUGUGACAGUGGCUUGAAAGAAAGCAAGGCUGUAUCAUCUCCAGGUUGGAAGCAGUCUUCAUAUAUUACUUGAGAGAAGCCAGGACUGUGACCAUCUGAAACAGUGCCAAAAGGAAAAGCUGCUUUUUUGAGGAGAACACAAAUCCUGCUGAUCAGCAGUCACAGGACUUGAAAAAAAAGACAACGUUUUUCUGUGACACUGAAGCAAGACCGCAAUUCACGUGUGGCUGCUCCAGUAAUCGCUGUCACUUUUGUAAGGUGUAUUAUCUUGCAAAGGAGUUAGCUUGCCAGGUGUGGUCUACACCCACACAGAUCUAAUGACCAUAUACUUUAAAGAGAAGGAUAUUUCAAUAGAUCAGUUAAAAACUUGAUUGCACAAUUUUUACAAGGAUGCUYUAUGACUGCUAGAGCCUCCCGUUUUUUCGUGUAACUAUAUAACUUAUCUGCAUAGUUCCUUUGUUGACUCAGCUUUUAAUCAGCAUUAAAAGAAUGAGGUCUUCAYGUUCUGUAUGUUGUGCAAGGAAUGACAAUGUCUGCCUUCUGG